UCAUUUUCUUCAUUGGAAAAAGUUUAAAUGUGAAAAUCUAAACUACCCCAUACAUACAGUUAGGUAUGAAGACUUGAAAACGAGACCAGUUGAGGAGAUUAAAAAGAUGGCUGACUUUCUGGAUAUUGAAUGUUCAGAAAAGAUGUGUCAAGACAUUGCCAUGGCAACCGACUUUUCUAAAAUGAAACAACAGAAGGAAUCGCUUACCCACCGAUUGAUAUCUAUAUAUAAAAGUGAAAAAGAAGUAAUUUAUAGAAAAGGACAAAUAGGAGACUGGAAAAAUAAUUUUUCAUCUGCAGAAUCAGAAUCCUUUGAUGCUUAUUAUCGUGGUAUAUUAGAUCCUCUUGAUCAUAUAUAUCUCACAGAUAAACCUUCACCUGAACAAUCAAACUAAACUUGUGGUAUAUUAGAUCACCUUGAUCAACUGAUCAAUCAAACUAAACUCGUGGUAUAUUAAACCCUCUUUAUCAA